rnacentral:rRNA from 1 species
GUCUAAGUAUAAGCAACUAUACGGUGAAACUGCGAAUGGCUCAUUAAAUCAGUUAUCGUUUAUUUGAUAGUACCUUACUACAUGGAUAACCGUGGUAAUUCUAGAGCUAAUACAUGCUAAAAACCUCGACUUCGGGAGAGGUGUAUUUAUUAGAUAAAAAACCAAUGCCCUUCGGGGCUCCUUGGUGAUUCAUAAUAACUUAACGAAUCGCAUGGCCUUGCGCCGGCGAUGGUUCAUUCAAAUUUCUGCCCUAUCAACUUUCGAUGGUAGGAUAGUGGCCUACCAUGGUAUCAACGGGUAACGGGGAAUUAGGGUUCUAUUCCGGAGAGGGAGCCUGAGAAACGGCUACCACAUCCAAGGAAGGCAGCAGGCGCGCAAAUUACCCAAUCCCGACACGGGGAGGUAGUGACAAUAAAUACUGAUACAGGGCUCUUUUGGGUCUUGUAAUUGGAAUGAGUACAAUUUAAAUCCCUUAACGAGGAACAAUUGGAGGGCA